UUCGUGAUUCAAACUGCCGGUACGCUUUCCGGCUCGCAACGACUCAAAGGGGCGGGGGCUAUAUAUUUGCUUGCAAAGCAGGCUGUUCGCCUUUCGGAAAGGGCGAGCCUAUUUGAUUCAAAAGGCGCUACUAAACUACUCUAGUACAGCUAGUGUUAGUAGUACAACAGAAUGCCGUUCACCCCGCAAGCCCUUCGUAUGCAAGCCCUACUGAAGUACCAAAGGCGAACGGCAUUAGUACAGCUGUUAAGAAUACUCUCCGAUGUUGACUUUGUAAACUAAUAGGCCGGUAGGUUACUUUUGAAUCAAAGUAGCGACGAAAGGGGGAAAUAGCUCAGUCGGUUAGAGUGCUGGUCUGUCACGCCAGAAGUCGCGGGUUCGAACUCUAUACAAAGGGCCUUUCCUUUCAAAUGACAACUGCCUCUUCCUGCUGCGAGGGCCUUGAAACCAAACCGCCCCCCGCCCGAAAAUGCCCAUUCCUUUCUCGUUGGGGGUCAAAAUGCUCGCUGUCCU
rnacentral:lncRNA from 1 species